CAGCCGCCGCGGUAAUACGUAGGUGGCAAGCGUUGUCCGGAAUUAUUGGGCGUAAAGCGCGCGCAGGUGGUUUAAUAAGUCUGAUGUGAAAGCCCACGGCUCAACCGUGGAGGGUCAUUGGAAACUGUUAAACUUGAGUGCAGGAGAGAAAAGUGGAAUUCCUAGUGUAGCGGUGAGAUGCGUAGAGAUUAGGAGGAACACCAGUGGCGAAGGCGGCUUUUUGGCCUGUAACUGACACUGAGGCGCGAAAGCGUGGGGAGCAAACAGGAUUAGAUACCCCCGUAGUCCCUGUCUCUUAUAC
rnacentral:rRNA from 1 species